rnacentral:rRNA from 1 species
GGGGAAUGGAACCGGCAGUCCAUUGGCUUUAAUACUGGGCGGACGGGUGAGUAAUGCGUGAGCAACCUGCCCAUAUCCGGGUGAUAACAGUUGGAAACGACUGAUAAUACCGCAUAAUACGGUUAGAAGGCAUCUUCUUUCCAUCAAAGAUUUAUCGGAUAUGGAUGGGCUCGCGUCUGAUUAGGCUGUUGGUGAGGUAACGGCUCACCAAACCGACGAUCAGUAGCCGACCUGAGAGGGUGAUCGGCCACAUUGGAACUGAGACACGGUCCAAACUCCUACGGGAAGCAGCAGUGGGGAAUAUUGGGCAAUGGAGGAAACUCUGACCCAGCAACGCCGCGUGAAUGAUGAAGGUCUUCGGAUUGUAAAGUUCUUUUCUAAGGGAAGAAGAAAGUGACGGUACCUUAGGAAUAAGCCUCGGCUAACUACGUGCCAGCAGCCGCGGUAAUACGUAGGAGGCAAGCGUUAUCCGGAAUGACUGGGCGUAAAGGGUGCGUAGGUGGUUCAGCAAGUUAGUAGCGUAACUCCGGAGCUCAACUUCGGCACUACUACUAAAACUGUUGGACUUGAGUGCAGGAGGGGCAACUGGAAUUCCUAGUGUAGCGGUGGAAUGCGUAGAUAUUAGGAAGAACACCGGUGGCGAAGGCGAGUUGCUGGACUGUAACUGACACUGAGGCACGAAAGCGUGGGGAGCAAACAGGAUUAGAUACCCUGGUAGUCCACGCCGUANACGAUGAAUACUAGGUGUAGGGGGUAUCGACUCCCUCUGUGCCGCCGCUAACGCAUUAAGUAUUCCGCCUGGGGACUACGGCCGCAAGGUUGAAACUCAAAGAAAUUGACGGGGACCCGCACAAGCAGCGGAGCAUGUGGUUUAAUUCGACGCAACGCGAAAAACUUACC